UACGUAGGGUGCAAGCGUUGUCCGGAAUUAUUGGGCGUAAAGAGCUCGUAGGCGGUCUGUCGCGUCGGAUGUGAAAACCCAGGGCUCAACCCUGGGCCUGCAUUCGGUACGGGCAGACUAGAGUUCGGUAGGGGAGACUGGAAUUCCUGGUGUAGCGGUGAAAUGCGCAGAUAUCAGGAGGAACACCGGUGGCGAAGGCGGGUCUCUGGGCCGAAACUGACGCUGAGGAGCGAAAGCGUGGGGAGCAAACAGG
rnacentral:rRNA from 1 species